AUUGAACGCUGGCGGCAGGCCUAACACCUGCCAGUCGAACGAGUGGCGGACGUGUGAGUAAUGUCUGGGACACUGCCUGGUGGAGGGGGUUAACUACUGGAAACGGUCGCUAAUACCGCAUUCCCUCGCCUGUGCCCAGAUGGGAUUCGCUGGUAGGUGGGGUAAAGUCUCACCUAGGCGACGCUCCCUAGCUGGUCUGAGAGGAUGACCGGCCACACUGGAGCUGAGAAGCGGUCCAGACUCCUACGGGGGGCAGCAGUGGGGAAUAUUGCGCAGUGGGCGCGAGCCUGAUGCAGCCAUGCCGGGUGUAUGAUGAAGUCCUUAGGGUUGUAAGGUACUUUCGGCGGGGAGGCGUUACCCGCACACGAAGCACCGGCUAACUCCGUGCCAGCAGCCGCGGUAAUAC
rnacentral:rRNA from 1 species